GGAAAUAAAAAACACACUCAAACUCAAAGGGCAAUCCAACUGUGACCUCGUUCGAGCCAGGUCAAAACAUUGUCUGAAAAUUAGGGUUUUAGGUUUUGGAUUGAAGAUCAUGUAUUCUGUCAUCUGGGUUUUGCUGGAGAAUUCAAGGUUUCAAUGAGGAUCUGGGUUUGGUGAGUUUUAGCAAGUGAAGGGGAAGAAAUGGUGCCCAAUCAAAGCUAUACUCGUAUCGACACUCUAGAGCUGAAAGGUCUGAUUAUCCAAAGGAUUGGGCAUCAGAGAGCUGAGAAAUACUUUGAUCUGAUCAGGAGAUUGUUUAGUUCAAAGAUUAGCAAGUGUGAAUUCGACAAGUUUUGCAAUCGGACUAUUGGGAGGGAAAAUGUCCAUCUUCAUAACCGACUUAUCAAAUCAAUUAUCAAGAAUGCCUGCCUUGCAAAAGUUCCACCCUUGACAGGUCUUAAGAAAGGGGGAAGUACCCUGAAUGUUAAAGUGGCGAAUGGCUAUCAGAAGAAUGGUUUUCAAUCAGUUAAUGCGGAUGCAUUUCCUCAAUCUCCUCGCAAGGGCAGGUCUCCAGUUAAUCGGGAACGCAAGUUCCGGGACCGCCCAAGCCCUUUGGGGCCAAAUGGAAAGCCCCAAAAUUUGGCAUCUGAGGAGUUCAUUUCUAAAGCACAGGAGCAGCAAAGCGCUAGUGAAUUGCUUUCUCUUGGAAGCAGACCUCCUGUUGAAGUUGCCUCUGUAGAAGAUGGAGAAGAGGUCGAACAGGACGCAGGAAGCCCAUCUAUUCAAAGUAGAAGCCCAGUAACAGCUCCUCUAGGUAUAAAUUUGGGUGGAUCACGUAAAGCUCUUCCUAAUGUAUCAUUGUGUAGUACUUACCACCCUGAGACCUGUCAAAACUGUGGCGAGCUACCUGAUACAAGAUCAUUAAGAAGUCGUUUGGAGCGGAAGUUGGACUUGGAGGGCGUUAGUGUCUCUGUAGACUGUGUUAACCUCUUGAAUAAUGGAUUAGAUGCUUACCUAAAGAGAUUAAUAGAACCUUGUAUUCAGCUAGCUGGGACAAGGCAUGGCAAUGAGCACUUAAAACAACUAAGUGGCUCAUACCCGUACAAAGAUGGUUUGAAUGGGAUGUCACUUCUGAGAAAUAUGCAAAGAGAAAGAAAACCUACUUAUGUGACUGUAUCGGAUUUUUCUACCUCAGUUGAGCUAAAUCCCCAGAUACUCGGUGCAGAUUGGGCCAUACAGCGUGAGAAGAUUGUCUUGCGUGCUUCUGAAGAGUGAAAUAAAUCAUUGCACACAUUCAGCGGUUGAUGAGAUGACGAGACAUGAAAUUGCACCAUCAGUUAUUCAUAGUUCAGUGUUUUGGAUCAAUUCUUUAACCUUACACGGAUUUUUAGUCUCUGCCUGUCCUUGACGUGAUCAAUGCCAGGCUUAUGUGAGCAAAGUUCUUGAGAAGGCAUCUCUUUGAUUGAGGGGUCGCUUCCAUUUUCUUUUAGUGAAGAAAUGUAUAUCCAAAGGCGGUUGCAAGCCUGCUGUAAAUUAUAACAGAGCAGCUGUCUGAACUAUGUACGUAAUGAAGUUAGCAGUUGACAAUAAAAUACAAUGUUCUGUGUAAUUCCACUUUCGAAUCGGCAAUAUAACUGUAUAGAGGCCGUCAAAAUCAAGAACAAUGAGUGAGGAUCAGUUCAAGUUUGAAGAAAGCCUUAAAUGCAAAGUUUGUGGUGUUUCCUACAUGGACCUCGCCAGUUGAUUGAUGGAGCUGACAAAGAGAAGGUGGGUGGCUUGGUCUGCUCAGCUAUACAAUUUGGAAGAAAUUUUUUGAGCGUCUGCAAUAUGAACGUUGUUGUUUUACUUUUUUUUGAGAUUCUUAUCUAGACACCCUGUAAUACUUCUCUUGUAUGUAAUUCCUUGGUUUAAUAAAAGUCAUAUCCACUAACUCAAAGAAUCAA